AGUGGAUGUUUCCUGCCCUGCCCCGGAAGAUGCCUCGAGUUUUUACAAAAGGUUGGGACUGGACAUUUUGGCCCCGUCCUCUACUUCCGGGCAGACUCAGGAGGCUGGGCCGCCUAAGAAGCGUCCUGUUCAGCAGGCGAGCCACACAGCUCCCCUGACCACCACGCCCACUCAAAGACACGACAAAGUGGGAGAACAGUGGCAUCAGUCUCAGCAGAGAGAAAAGCAGGCACCACAGCAAUUCAG